rnacentral:rRNA from 26 species
CGACUCUCGGCAACGGAUAUCUCGGCUCUCGCAUCGAUGAAGAACGUAGCGAAAUGCGAUACUUGGUGUGAAUUGCAGAAUCCCGUGAACCAUCGAGUCUUUGAACGCAAGUUGCGCCCGAAGCCGUCAGGCCGAGGGCACGUCUGCCUGGGUGUCACG